GUCGACGCGCAGAUGGAUGAAGUAGGCAGUUAUUAAUGCUCUCAAACGCGUCUGAGAUCCCGAUCGUUGAUGCGUCUUGGCGAUCAGAUGACUGAGACGAAUCGGGCACCUCCGCAUUAAUGGCAACAGGGAACAAGGAUGACACGCAUCGCUUGGCGAAUCGCAAAAAAAUAGACCUUCAUGAAUGCUCUUGACACGGGGGAGUUUUGGCCGUUGAUGCGGAGCCGUGAUCCAACGGUUAUGGAUGGAGUGAUCUGCAGCCUAUUAACGUCUCCGGUGCAGGUUUAUCCAAGCCGUUCUUGGGGUUGUGAUCCCACAGCUUUGGGGAAAGCAUGACGUGUGACUCGAUCAAAUGAAUGUGAAGCGGCCACGUGUGAUGAUCCUAAGGCUCUGAAACUUUAGAUAUUUAAACCCAAAAUUUUGGUUCUACCCAUUUUUUUUCCCUUCAUUCUCUCACACGCCCCUUCCCCUCUCUGUCUCUCCUUCUCUCUUUUCCUUAACCCUCCCCUUUUUCACCAAUUCCAACUUAAAAGCCCCUCAUUUUUCUUCUUUUUUUGCAGCACCUCUAAUGCUGACACGACCUUCCGACAUGGAUUAGGAAACGCCAAUCGUCCCUCAUGGUAGCGACCUGUGCUCCACCCGCUCCUUGAAGCUGUAGAUCCGAGCCUCAGACCAAGCACACCUUGCUCGAAGAUCUUCACGCUCGGGAGCAAUGGAUGUGAUCCUGAGGGUCCAUAUGGCAGAUGAGGAAUGGAAGGCUUUUGAGAGGUUUCCAAAUGGAAGCACCAAGAUAGAGGGAAAGGUAGCUGAGGUGAUCCAGAUGUCAACAUAGGGGAGGAGGGCUUCUGGAUGUCUCAGCUUGGCAAGCCCAGAUUGGAGCAAGGAAGGAUUCAGCAUUUGUUUCUUCUUUUUUGUAUUUUGAUUUUUGUAAUCUUUAUUAUGUAUUUGUUAUUCUUUGUGCAUGCUCCCUACAAUUUUAGUUCUGGGACACUCAUUUCUGUAUCAUAUUUUUAAAUUUUCAAUUCUAUUUGGCAAAUUUUGAGUGAGGGAA